AGCAAAUUUACCCUGGCAGCAUAUGGGUGAAAACGCUGAAGGAGAAAGUAAUCGCUUUGUUAUUGGCCCUUGGACGCCCCUGGUAUCUCGUGUACAACACAAAGUAUUCAGCUAUGAAGAGACUCCAGAAUGAAAACCAAGCCCUGAGGGAGGAGAACCAAUUAAGCCCUGAGGGAAUGCAAUGCACAAACAGGUGAGAAUGUGCACUCAUUCUUACAUUUAACGUUUUUGUGUGUAAUGUAGGUUCAGAAUUACCAUAUGCCUUUCAUUUUGUAGCUUCGGA